rnacentral:lncRNA from 1 species
CCUACAGGCCCCUUUUGAGGACCAAAUCAUGUAGCUACUCUGUGCUUUGUCACUUACUGUGGAAAUUGCAAGAUCCUUAACACCCAAGGCUGUCCCCCCAUGGCCCACACGUCCAGCCUUACCCUGUCUAAGAGCACCCAGUAGGUGCUCUGGGCAUUUGCGCUCAAUAGGUAAGUUCCAGAAUAAAUAAAAACAGCUUUAAUUCAACAAACAUUUUCCGGAGCACCGACAAGUAUGCUGGGCACACCAGGCUGGGGUUUGCCAUACAAAGAGGAUGAAAACAGUCUCUUGGAAGCUAAUUGGGGUCCUCAUUUGACCAGCAAUUUCUUUCCUCCCCUUUUAAGCCGACCAGUUUUGUCCGGACAAGACAAAAACGACUCCUCGGUGCUUUAGAGGAGCACGGCUCAUUGGAGACAAUGGCUCCCGGGCGUCUGAAAGGGGCUGAUUGGAUUAUGUGGCAAAUUAAGGUGGAAGGUGACAAAUGGAACGGGCGGGGAUCUGCUUUGAGUUAAUCCAGGCUAUUAGGAAGGGAACCUUUUGUCUUCCAGAGCCUGGCGGGAGCUUUUACCACUGGUUUUUACAUCUUCAGUGUCCAGGACAAAUAAUUUAUGCCAAUCUUCCCGAAAGGCCUGGCUCCACUUCCUGUCUUCUCCAUCACCUCCAAUUUCCUUCUCAACCCACUGCCUCCCGACUUCUCUCCUCCACUGAACGGCUCACCAGGCUCUCAGUGACCAGCCCGGAUGCAUGUCCUGGCCAGCUGGACCUGGGGACCCUCGAGCCCUGGCGGGCUUCUCUUUUCCUUCCUUGCCCAUCUGCGUUAGCCGUGGCUUCUCCGUCAAAAACCCCGCACCGCAGGAUUGGCCUCGCUGAAGAUGGGGGUGCAGGAGAGCCCCCCCGAGGCCCAGCGCCCCGACUGAGCCCCCCCACCGAAGCGCCUCCUGCUGAACUCCACGCCUCUCGACUCCUGCCUGCUUUGGGCCGAAGCCGUCACCCUGGACGCCUCCACAGGAAGGGACCCUGCACCGCUGGACCCCCGCGCCCGCCGCCAGCCACCUCUCAACCGGCAGGCUAG